rnacentral:rRNA from 1 species
UACAGAGGGUGCGAGCGUUGUCCGGAAUCACUGGGCGUAAAGGGCGCGUAGGCGGCUUCUCAAGCGUGUGGUGAAAGUCCGGGGCUCAACCCCGGAUCGGCCGUGCGGACUGGGGAGCUCGAGUUCUGUAGAGGCGGGUGGAAUUCCGGGUGUAGCGGUGGAAUGCGUAGAGAUCGGAAGAACACCGGUGGCGAAGGCGGCCCGCUGGGCAGAGACUGACGCUGAGGCGCGACAGCGUGGGGAGCAAACGAG